ensembl:lncRNA
CUCAGGUCCCAUAACCUGUCCACUUCUACAGCCUUGAGAUGAGAAAUUGUGACAUAGCUGUGAAACUGGGAACCAGUGAGGUUUCAGAUCCAAUCUUCCAGUGGAGUCGUUCCUGUCAUUUCGUGGUCCAGUUGCUGCACCACAAACUCCUGCUUUCCUUUAAUCAAGAUUUGGCAGAAUGUAGACUGGAGCAUGAGACAAGCAGAGCAGUCACACUGCUUCUUCACAAAAGGCACAGAGCUACCCCCACCUCCAACCGCCGUAGCCAUGGAAAUGCCACCCAAUCCAGAGCCUAGGAAAUGCAGGAAGGGCGGGAAAUGGCUUAGAGCCCUCCUUCCAACUUUCUCUCAAAUGCACAGCCAGGCACAAAUACACACAGCAUGAUUCAAAUA